UCUUUGGCUUUCAUAUGAUAUGAUUAAUGUUCUAGUUUAAUAUAAUUUGUCUGCCUGUCAAUGACGAGUUAAGCAGUAUUUGAGCUCGUAUAACAUGUAUGCUAUCUGAACAAGAACUUUCUCCUGCAUGAUGCGAGGCUCCAUAUAAUGAUGAGAACAUCUAAUAUUGUUACCUUUGGUUGUUCUUGUCAUAAUUUCAUUACAGUUUGUAUUUGCAUUUGCAGAUUGGAUUGAAAGGUGAGCAGUCGAGCCUUUAUGGAAGUGAAGGUACAAAUGAUGCUCCAUGGGUUUCCGGCUCCGAACUACCCAAGAACCGACCUAUGAUAUGGUACAAGGUACUACAUGGGGAAAUAUGUCUCAUUCCUAUAUAGUAAUUUUUUUUAAAAAUCACAAGCUUUAUGGAUGCACCUAAUGGUUUCUGCCGACAUGGCCCUGACACAUCAAUCUGGCCUUGGUUGAAGAUAACAAAUCGCAUUGCUCCUCACAUUUUUCUUUGUAUGCUUGCUGCAGACAAACUUUGAUGCACCAGAUGGUAGUGACCCCGUUGCCCUCGACCUUACGGGGCUGGGAAAGGGUCAGGCUUGGGUGAAUGGGCAGAGCAUUGGACGCUAUUGGCCAACUUAUAUU
rnacentral:lncRNA from 1 species